AGAACGAACGCUGGCGGCACGCCUAACACAUGCAAGUCGAGCGCCCAGCAAUGGGAGCGGCGGACGGGUGAGGAACACGUGGGAAUAUGCCUUUCGGUUCGGCACAACUGCGGGAAACUGCAGCUAAUUCCGGAUACGCCCUUACGGGGAAAGAUUUAUCGCCGAAAGAUUAGCCCGCGUCUGAUUAGCUAGUUGGUGAGGUAAUGGCUCACCAAGGCUUCGAUCAGUAGCUGGUUUGAGAGAACGACCAGCCACACUGGGACUGAGACACGGCCCAGACUCCUACGGGAGGCAGCAGUGGGGAAUCUUGGACAAUGGAGGAAACUCUGAUCCAGCGAUGCCGCGUGAGUGAUGAAGGCCUUCGGGUUGUAAAACUCUUUUACCAGGAAGAUAAUGACUGUACCUGGAGAAUAAGCUCCGGCUAACUUCGUAGCCAGCAGCCGC
rnacentral:rRNA from 1 species